rnacentral:rRNA from 1 species
UACAGAGGGUGCAAGCGUUGUUCGGAAUUACUGGGCGUAAAGCGUGCGUAGGCGGCUUUGUAAGUCAGAGGUGAAAUCCCGGAGCUCAACUCCGGAACUGCCUUUGAGACUGCAUCGCUUGAAUCCGGGAGAGGUGAGUGGAAUUCCGAGUGUAGAGGUGAAAUUCGUAGAUAUUCGGAAGAACACCAGUGGCGAAGGGCGGCUCACUGGACCGGUAUUGACGCUGAUGUGCGAAAGCGUGGGGAGCAAACAGG